rnacentral:miRNA from 1 species
CGUGUGUGUGUGUGUGUGUGUGUGUGUGUGUGCGUGCACGCACAUGCGCACACCCAAAAUCUUGCAAG